UACGUAGGGGGCAAGCGUUGUCCGGAAUUAUUGGGCGUAAAGAGCGCGUAGGCGGUCCGAUAAGUCGGCUGUGAAAGUCGGGGGCUCAACCCUCGAAUGCCGGUGGAUACUGUCGGGCUAGAGUGCGGAAGAGGCGAGUGGAAUUCCUGGUGUAGCGGUGAAAUGCGCAGAUAUCAGGAGGAACACCUAUUGCGAAGGCAGCUCGCUGGGACGUAACUGACGCUGAGACGCGAAAGCGUGGGGAGCAAACAGG
rnacentral:rRNA from 1 species